rnacentral:rRNA from 1 species
UAGGGAAUCUUCCGCAAUGGGCGAAAGCCUGACGGAGCAACGCCGCGUGAGUGAAGAAGGAUUUCGGUUCGUAAAGCUCUGUUGUUAGGGAAGAAUGAUUAUGUAGUAACUAUACAUAGUAGAGACGGUACCUAACCAGAAAGCCACGGCUAACUACGUGCCAGCAGCCGCGGUAAUACGUAGGUGGCAAGCGUUGUCCGGAAUUAUUGGGCGUAAAGCGCGCGCAGGUGGUUUAAUAAGUCUGAUGUGAAAGCCCACGGCUCAACCGUGGAGGGUCAUUGGAAACUGUUAAACUUGGGUGCAGGAGAGAAAAGUGGAAUUCCUAGUGUAGCGGUGAAAUGCGUAGAGAUUAGGAGGAACACCAGUGGCGAAGGCGGCUUUUUGGCCUGUAACUGACACUGAGGCGCGAAAGCGUGGGGAGCAAACAGGAUUAGAUACCCUGGUAGUCCACGCCGUAAACGAUGAGUGCUAAGUGUUGGUCUCAUAAGAGAUCAGUGCUGCAGCUAACGCAUUAAGCACUCCGCCUGGGGAGUACGACCGCAAGGUUG